rnacentral:rRNA from 1 species
UACAGAGGGUGCGAGCGUUAAUCGGAAUUACUGGGCGUAAAGCGCGCGUAGGCGGCUUUUCAAGUCGAUUGUGAAAUCCCCGGGCUCAACCUGGGAACUGCAGUCGAGACUGUCUAGCUAGAGUAUGGGAGAGGGAAGUGGAAUUUCAGGUGUAGCGGUGAAAUGCGCAGAUAUCAGGAGGAACACCGGUGGCGAAGGCGGUGGUCUGGGCCGGCACUGACGCUGAGGAGCGAAAGCGUGGGGAGCAAACAGG